rnacentral:rRNA from 1 species
UACAACAAGAGUAUUAAAGGUCCUGCCUGCCCAGUGAAAACUUUUUAACGGCCGCGGUAUUCUAACCGUGCAAAGGUAGCGUAAUCACUUGUCUUCUAAAUAAAGACCAGUAUGAACGGCUAAAUGAGGACAAACCUGUCUCCUACAACCAAUCAGUGAAACUGAUCUCCCAGUCCAAAAGCUGGGAUAUAAACAUUAGACGAGAAGACCCUGUGGAGCUUAAAAAGCACCUAGUAAUAACACACUAGCACAAAUUUUUAAGUUGGGGCGACUUCGGAAAAAAACGAAACUUCCGAGCAGAGAACCACAAAUUCAAACCGAGGUAAACAAACCAAAGAUAAAACUAUUGACCCAGUCCACACUGACCAACGAACCAAGUUACCCCAGGGAUAACAGCGCCAUCCUCUUCAAGAGUCCAUAUCGACAAGAGGGUUUACGACCUCGAUGUUGGAUCAGGGCACCCCAAUGGUGCAACCGCUAUUAAAGGUUCGUUUGUUCAACGAUUA